GCUAAAGGAGAAGAAAAUAAACCCUGAAAUGUCUCUGAAGUGACAGUUUCACCAGAAAUCAUUACAAUUCACCUCUCAUGAAUUGAAACGUUCCUGGAGUCACAUCGGUCACUUCCGCUGAUCGUUUCCUCCUGAUCUGAGCACAAAACAAACAAGAUUACCAGGAACAAAUGUUUUUAGCCCCUUUUUUAGUUUUUAGAGUUUAAGGCUGAAAUUUAAUUUCAUCUGAAACUUGGAUCUGGUUAGAAAAUCCCUUCAUCAUUUGGAGAAUCACAAUGAAAGCUUCAAGCAGCAUGGCCGCUGCUAUUGCUGCGUCACUCAUCGGGUUGUCAGUGGAGUUCAUGGUGGCUCUUCCCGGUUCCAGUUUACCUGGAGGUAAUCCAGAGUCUCCACCUGAAAUAGUGAUGGUAGUGGAAGUGGAAAGAUAAUUUAUAAAGUAUUCACGGCUCUAAGAAUCAUAACUGUGUCCGUGAAAGUGUGGGCCUGUAGGAAUGUUAGCUGUUAGCUAAACAGGAAGAACGAGACCCACAAUCAGGUCAGCUCUGAGGAGACGGAGCAAAACCCAGGAACUCUGAUCAAAUCACGAAGAAAUGACAGAAUAUAAUCCACAGCUGGAGAGCAGUAGGAGAAAGUAGUGAGGCAGAGCGGUCAGUCUGACCUGCUGAUGGAUAACCAAACCAGUCUAACCAUAAACUUUAUCAAAAUAAAAGUUUUAAGCCCUAUUAAUUAAUUUUCAAUGUGUGGUUGUCAUGACAACAAAGGUCAAACGAACCUUGUUGAACAUUUAGUUUUUAAAUGAUCAUUGUUGCCACCCAGGCUUCUUUCUGGCUGGUCCAGUUGAUCUGGGAACAAACAAAGUUUUUCCAUAUCGAGACGCUUCAUGAUAACCGAACCUGGUCAGAAAAUGAAGUUAAAGAACCAAAACGGCUCCACAGCAGAGAAACUGAGGAAUCUGCCGACCGGAGUCAGAUCAGACUCAGGUUUCAGAGGAGCUUCAGUCAGGAUGAACAUCUACAGUUAAAGUCAGAGGCUGCAGCUGUUUUAAGACGUUACAGUGUCAGAGGUCAGAGGUCAUUCAGCUGGAGAUCACAGAAACAUCACAGCUGCUUCUGGACAGAAUAUUAAUAUUAGCUGUGAAGUCAGUGAUGAGAAAAGCAUCAUAACUGUGGAAUGGAGAAGAGCAGAAGAUCCGGAGGAUGAUCAUGUGAUUGUUUACAAAAACGAGAAAAUAAGUUCUGAUGAUCAGCUGAAACAGUUCAAAGGUCGAGUGAAUCUGACGAUACAGGAGCGAAGCUUGAGUUUGAUUGUGAAGAACGUAACGACCAAUGACAGCGGAACGUUUGAGUGUCGAGUUCAGAGAGCAGGAAGUGGUGGGAUGGAGCACGUCUGCACCAGAAGCCUGGAGGUUUCUCCUCCUGCAGGGAACCUGGAUGGAAACAGGAAUGAUGAAGAGAACCAGGAUGGAUCUGCUGGUCCAAUCAGUGAUGGGGCCCAAACUUGGAUCAUUGCUGUUGUUGUUGUUGUUGUUGCUGUUGUUGUUGUUGUUGUUGUUGUUGUUGU